rnacentral:rRNA from 1 species
UACGGAGGGUGCAAGCGUUAAUCGGAAUUACUGGGCGUAAAGGGUGCGUAGGUGGUUUAUUAAGUUAGGUGUAAAAUUCCUGGGCUCAACCUGGGCUUGAGACUUAAAACUGAUAGACUGGAGUAUAGGAGAGGGUAGUGGAAUUUCCGGUGUAGCGGUGAAAUGCGUAGAGAUCGGAAGGAACACCAGUGGCGAAGGCGGCUACCUGGCCAGAUACUGACACUGAAGCACGAAAGCGUGGGGAGCAAACAGG